rnacentral:misc_RNA from 1 species
GUCACUGCUUCCACAGAACAGAAAAUAGAGAAAGAUAAAGAAGAGAAGGAUAUGAGAAUAGAAAAAAGAGAAAAGAGAAAGAGAAAGAAUCAGAGAAUAAGAUGAGAAGAACGAUAUUUCUUAUUACUGAUCAAGAAUGAAUCUUAGACAGGUGAUACCACUGUCUUUUAUAUAUUCUAAUAACUGCCUUUUACAGUUUGUCACUACUUGAGCUGACUUCUAGAAAGUCUCUAACUGAGUAACUACCUCCUAAAAAUAUCUGCUAGUUUCCCUUUAAAACAUCUAACAAACUUCUCCCAUCCCGGAUUACUAAGCUGAAACAAUUUCUACUCUACAUUUCUUCUCCCUUUCCUAUAAAAUGUGACAUUUUACUAUGAUAAUAGCCUCCACUCUGUCAAAUGGGAUUUAAAAAGUAUGUUAUUUAAGAAGGCAUGAACCACAGAAAAAUUUGGCAGUGUGAAACCAGAAAAAUAUAUGAAGACAAUAGUUCCAAUAAGUAAGAUUAGGAUGUCAAGAAUUGGCCUGUAUCCUGUCCUUCAAGGAAGAUUUGGUUGGUGACAAACUUUAGCAGUAUCCAAGCAUCCUCAUUUCGAGGAUGGCUAAAUACUCAUUCCAGCGACCUUUUUAAUUCCUUUAUAAUUCAUCAACCUCCUUACUCUGGUCACAUCAGUCCACCUUUGUUUAGUAGCAUAGAUAUUGGAGAGGAGAACGUAAACCCUACUGUCUCGAGACUCAAGUUCUAUGAUGUGAUCUAGUAUACUUUGAGAGAUUUGCAAAAUUCGUAUAGCCUUGGAAGCACUAAGAAGAACUCCCACUAUAAGCACAUCAGGUGACAUAGGCAUAGUU